CCUCGACCCCGCGCCGCUGCGCCACCUCGCCUCCACCCGCCGGUGCGCGCCGCCACCUCACCGGGCCCUAGGAGCCCUGCCGCCUCGCACUGCCGCCUGCGCCGCGUCGUGCGCCGCCACCUCCCCACAAGCUCGCCGCACCGCCGCGGAAGCCUCGUCGCCGGUCACCCCGACCUUGAGAUCCGCCGCUACCAUGGGAGCCGAGCACCGAGCUUCUCUGCGCCCCGCCCGCGUCCCCACGUCGUCGCCGCCGCACCACGCUGCCUCGCGCCCGGAUCCGGCCACGGGAGGUCCGGCCACUCCGGAUCCGGCCUCCUCCUCGCCGCACGGGCCUCCUCCUCGCCGGAGUGACGCCCCUCGCCGGAGCAGCGCCGGCCAAGCCCAUCGGCCACCAGGUUCGUCCUGGGAUCAGUUUCCCACAGGCAGCAUGUUGUUCCUACUCCUCUACCUACUACAGCAGCACAAUGUUCUUCUGUAUUGCAAUAGAGUAGGAGUAUUUGCUAGAGUAGCUAGGACGUACAGCUAUGGUUAAUUGCCGCCAUGUGUAUUGUUUUGUUAGAGCAGAUGGCUCCCAUGAUCCCAUCAAUUUCGCAUCGCUGGAUGCUUUAUGUACACAUGCACGGAUCUAUCCUAUUGCCACCGACUAGAAACUAUAUUCUGAUAUUCAUCAGAUUUUCUAGCUAAAUUAGUACUGCUGCUGCAUAAAAGUUGAAGAUUGGAUUAGAUUAAUGGCUGCAUAAAAGUUUAUAUUUCCUCCCAAUCAGUAGUCCUCCGUAUACUCCGGUGUUUCUCAUCUUUAGUUUUUUCUCUUUUUCCAUAUGGAUGCAAGCAAUCGUGACGGCAUAAGCGCUACAUUGGUGCCUUCCAAGAAAGACUGGUGUUCACAUUCAGACAUGUGCCUCAUGUGGAUUUUUGUUCAGUAAGAUCGACCUGACGCCUCAUAUUUUAAUUUGGACAGUGGGACUUGGUUUUAUGUAUUUAGUGGUUCUACAAAUGGUUCUGCUAUGGUUGACAUCACAAUUCUUCUAAUGAGUAGGUAAUUUUAACACCCUCUACUAUUUUAUUGGUGUUCAGUUCUGUAAUACCCAUUGGCGUUGGCUGGCAAGUAUUAUUAGUUUAUAUGAGCCAGUUCAUUUAUGCUGAUGUAACUGAUCUGAAAGGAUUGGAGUAGUUUGGAGAAAUCAACUUAAAUGGUGACUCCACAUAUUUUCACAAGGAGGUUAUUACACGCAAAAAAAAAAGUUCCUCUUAGAGCAUUGCCUUCAGUUUCCCCCCUUCUACCAUAUAGUAGUACUGAUUAUAUGUGUCAUCUCGAUAUUAGUUUAGUUGCGACUUUUGCGUAUGCCUUGAGAGUUUUGUAUUUGCGUCUCAAUUGGUUUAGUGUAGUUACAGCAGUAUGCCAAAUAAUCCAAAAAUAAUUAAUUAAAUCAUUGGACCGUCCGGAUAUAAAGAGCAUGAUUUAUACCAUCAAAUGAACAUAUAUUUUUAUAUGAAAUGAAGGCACAAUCUUAAACCUGUGGGUGCAUGCAUUGCUUCCUGCCUCUGUGCUCGCAAUUUAAAUGCACUAUAUUUUACUCACUAAUACAUCUUGAACAAUCUAAAAAAUAUAUAGCUUGGUUUAUCUUUGUAACUCCUUAUCUGAUUUUUCCAUUUUCCACAUUGUUGUGUCUAUUUUGUCAGUUUGGUCCUGUGUAAAUAGUUGUCUUAGGGGUCUCGGUAUUGCAUACACACGGAAUCUUCAAUUUGUCUCAAAUGCUCAGUGGUAAAAACCAGCCAUGCUGGCGGUUCUUAUCAGUGUGAUGGUAUGCUAACUGUUUCUGAUAUAAUUCUGCUCUAAAAGCCCUACACUAUUUUUGUCUUGUGGAUAUGCCGUGCAAACAAAUGCUGAGUUAAAAGGUCAUAUCUUUACACUAAUUUAAGAUUGUCUUUAUCUCAAGUGCUGGCUCCUACAGCAUUGCAUUUCACCAAGUGAAAUGCUACAUUUCUACUCCUAACCCAUUCUCUUUUUCUUAGUGUUUUUGUUAUGCAGGUUGGACGAAAAGAAGAAGAUCCAGAAAAGAUCUUAGUAAUAAGAUAGUUUUGACUUUGUGAAACUUGCUACCUAUCCAUGAAAUUGUGUAAUAUUGAUGAAACUAUGUAUAUAUAUGGAUGAAACUUGCUACUAUUGGUAACAUGUGUUGGAUAUA